rnacentral:lncRNA from 1 species
AUGAUAUGCAUUUAUAACACGCUUGUGGCGAAGCAGACGGCCUCCGCCUGCCCCCUCGUGCGCAGGAGGCUGGCACAGGCCCGUGUCCUCAGCCCGUGCUGUGUGGAAUAUGCUUCUCACACCUCAAAAGUGCCGAAGUUCGGUGCCAUGCAGGACGUCCAUUUUCCCCGCUGGAAAACAGCAGCGAGAGUGGGAGCCGGUGCCGGGUACUCAUAUGAACAUUUGAUGACUGCUGCUGUGAAGAUUUUAUCAUUGAAAUGAUUGUUUCCUGAGCACUUCAUUUCUUCGGCAGCAGCCAGAUGGAUGGAGGCAAUGGCCCUUCCCCCUGAGUGCAGGGGAACUUUGCUCAGUCCUGGACCAUCCAGGUGUUUGACAGAUCUAAGUCGAUAUCUGAAGCUUCAGGUGGAAUUUUGCUGCCUCAGGAACUUGCAAGUAUCUCAUCAGUCCUAUAUGUAAUAUCUUCUUGGGUGGCUAAAUAGGACUAAAUACCAAUGUGUAUGUUGCUAAAUCCUUUUCCUGUGUCUGAAAAUGAUAUGCUCAGAUGAGCAGUUUGAGGUCACCACCAGUGUUACCUGGAUCCAUACACACAUCUGCUUUGGGCCCUCAUUCUCAUCAUACUUCUGUGGUACAGUUUAUGCUGAAGUAGAUAUAUAUAGUGGUGGCCAGAUGGGGCAAUGUGUUUUUACUUUCCCUGUCUUGGCAUCAUUCUCCCACUGUUGCCCUCAGUGCUGAAGCAGCCUGCUUUGGAGUCAGCUGAACGGUAGUGCUGGAGAUGCAGACUUGGUAGGAACAUGGAAAUAAGAAGGGCAAGUUUGCCCUCUGGCCCAGCCAUAUCACAGAACUUCCUAGUAGGGUACUCACUUGGUCCUGCAAGUUGUCUUGUCUUUGUCUCUACAAAUCCAAAGUAAUUCAGCUAUUCAGAAAAAAAGUUGAUCAUAAACAUGUAAAAGGCAAAUACAAUCUGAAGAUAAAUCAUGCACAGUCAAUGGAGCUGGGGCUGUGAAGUUAAUUUCCAGGGAAGAUUUAAAUGAAUCAGAAAGCAGACAUGAGCACACAUUGCAAUAUACGUUCUUUGACAGAAUUCUUCCCCUAGAGGCCCCUGGCAAUCUGCAGACCUCCCCAGACUAAACCUAAGAGCCUUCCUGUAAAUAAAGAAGGGACAGCCUCUGGAGGCA